GACGAACGCUGGCGGCGUGCUUAACACAUGCAAGUCGAACGAUGAAGCUGGAGCUUGCUCCGGUGGAUUAGUGGCGAACGGGUGAGUAACACGUGAGCAAUCUGCCCUUGACUCUGGGAUAACUGCGGGAAACUGUAGCUAAUACCGGAUACGAGACCUGAAGGCAUCUUCGGGUCUGGAAAUCAUUUCGGUCAAGGAUGAGCUCGCGGCCUAUCAGCUUGUUGGUGAGGUAAUGGCUCACCAAGGCGACGACGGGUAGCCGGCCUGAGAGGGUGACCGGCCACACUGGGACUGAGACACGGCCCAGACUCCUACGGGAGGCAGCAGUGGGGAAUAUUGCACAAUGGGCGAAAGCCUGAUGCAGCAACGCCGCGUGAGGGAUGAAGGCCUUCGGGUUGUAAACCUCUUUUAGCAGGGAAGAAGCGAAAGUGACGGUACCUGCAGAAAAAGCACCGGCUAACUACGUGCCAGCAGCCGCCGUAA
rnacentral:rRNA from 1 species